AACGAACGCUGGCGGCAUGCCUAACACAUGCAAGUCGAACGAGACCUUCGGGUCUAGUGGCGCACGGGUGCGUAACGCGUGGGAACCUGCCCUUAGGUUCGGAAUAACUCCCCGAAAGGGGUGCUAAUACCGGAUAAUGUCUUCGGACCAAAGAUUUAUCGCCUUUGGAUGGGCCCGCGUUGGAUUAGCUAGUCGGUAGGGUAAAAGCCUACCAAGGCGACGAUCCAUAGCUGGUCUGAGAGGAUGAUCAGCCACACUGGGACUGAGACACGGCCCAGACUCCUACGGGAGGCAGCAGUGGGGAAUAGUGGACAAUGGGCGAAAGCCUGAUCCAGCAAUGCCGCGUGAGUGAUGAAGGCCUUAGGGUUGUAAAGCUCUUUUAACCGGGAUGAUAAUGACAGUACCGGGAGAAUAAGCGCCGGCUAACUCCGUG
rnacentral:rRNA from 1 species